UUAGCUAGUNGGUGGGGUAAAGGCCUCCCAAGGCGACGAUCAGUAGCUGGUCUGAGAGGAUGAUCAGCCCCACUGGAAUUGAGACACGGUCCAGACUCCUACGGGAGGCAGCAGUGAGGAAUUUUCUGCAAUGGGCGAAAGCCUGACAGAGCAAUACCGCGUGAGGGAUGAAGGCCUACGGGUUGUAAACCUCUUUUCUCAAGGAGGAAGAUCUGACGUUACUUGAGGAAUAAGCAUCGGCUAACCCUGUGCCAGCAGCCGCGGUAAUACAGGGGAUGCAAGUGUUAUCCGGAAUUAUUGGGCAAAAAGCGUCCGAA
rnacentral:rRNA from 1 species